rnacentral:lncRNA from 1 species
UCUUCUCUCUCAAAAUAUCUUAUUGUACUGUAUUCACCUAUUUUCAGACUGUGAUUGACCAUGGGUAACUGAAAUCACAGAGUGAAACCACAGACUGGGACACUGGUCUUCUCCUUCCUUUGGACUCAGACUCAGACUUAGACUGGAAUUUACAACAUCAACUCACCUGGGUUUCCAGCUUGCCAACUUCAGAUCUUGGACUUCUCAUCUUCUAUAAUCAUGAUCUGUUCCAGAAGGAACUGCUGGAUCAAAGCAUGUGCGAACUCUUAAGGCUUCUGAUACAUAUUGCCAAAUUACCACUCGAAGGACUUACCAGCAGUGAAUGGGAGAACCUCUUCCCCAGGGUCCUGACCCACCCAACCAUAAACACACAAUAAGGAAGUAAGGGGGAU